rnacentral:rRNA from 1 species
UGGGGAAUUUUGGACAAUGGGCGCAAGCCUGAUCCAGCCAUGCCGCGUGAGUGAAGAAGGCCUUCUGGUUGUAAAGCUCUUUUGUCAGGGAAGAAACGGUAGUAGCGAAUAACUAUUACUAAUGACGGUACCUGAAGAAUAAGCACCGGCUAACUACGUGCCAGCAGCCGCGGUAAUACGUAGGGUGCAAGCGUUAAUCGGAAUUACUGGGCGUAAAGCGUGCGCAGGCGGUUGUGUAAGUCAGAUGUGAAAUCCCCGGGCUCAACCUGGGAAUUGCAUUUGAGACUGCACGGCUAGAGUGUGUCAGAGGGGGGUAGAAUUCCACGUGUAGCAGUGAAAUGCGUAGAUAUGUGGAGGAAUACCGAUGGCGAAGGCAGCCCCCUGGGAUAACACUGACGCUCAUGCACGAAAGCGUGGGGAGCAAACAGGAUUAGAUACCCAAGUAGUCCCUGAGCGGGCUGGCAAGGCG